GGCAAGGCAAAGCAGAGAAAGGAAAGGCUCUCAGACCGAGACGUUCACAGCUACAACGCUGAGACAUUACGACAUUGACAAUAGCACAAUCUUUGCAAAACAUUAUAGUAUACCUGGGCGUAUGUGUCUACAUCACGAUAGUGUACGGAUAUCCACAUUUGCAUUGAGCAUACUGUUUUACCAUACACACGAGAAUAAGAACAGCCCUUUGUCUAUACACUACUGCAUGAAGUUGCUGGAAGAAGGCCUCUCCACGCAGUGUUGGUGUGACCAUACUUCACCACGGUGGUGAGUGCUGGUUGGUAAAAGGGAUAAUACUCAGACGUCCGACUGCCAUAUCGCCGUGUCGCAACGAGGCAGGGAUGGGAGUUGUAUGGAAUAACUGCGAGAGAGCGCCUGCAUCACCUGUGAUCUGCACCACACCUGGGCAACGUGACAUCCCAGACGGAGCGACAGCCCCAGGGCCGUGACGUCACCACUCGGAGCCUGCACCACAGACAAAGAUGCCCCGUGUAGCCCCUGACAGGCCAUUGGGGCAAGUGCUGUUAGCGAGAAGCAGCACCUGUGAAGGCCGGCACGGCGCACCGGGAUAGAGGGGGAGGGGGGUGGCCAGCAACCACGCCCGGCCGCCUUUGUCUCCCUCGGUGGCGACAUUCACACAUAUCGCACCAGGUCAUCAUUUGAGGCUGUGUCGACCUAGGGGAAGGGACCCAUGGACCGGUUCGAAUGAUCGUCACUGGUGCUGGUGGCGCAGCGCUCGGACCUGCACCAAUACCAACACUGACGUCAUUCGCCACUCAGUGACGGUGACCACGGCGCCUGUGCCAGGCUAGGUGCACUUUGAGGCCACGUGGA